GACGAACGCUGGCGGCGUGCUUAACACAUGCAAGUCGAACGGAAAGGCCCUGCUUUUGUGGGGUGCUCGAGUGGCGAACGGGUGAGUAACACGUGAGUAACCUGUCCUUGACUUUGGGAUAACUUCAGGAAACUGGGGCUAAUACCGGAUAGGAGCUCCUGCUGCAUGGUGGGGGUUGGAAAGUUUCGGCGGUUGGGGAUGGACUCGCGGCUUAUCAGCUUGUUGGUGGGGUAGUGGCUUACCAAGGCUUUGACGGGUAGCCGGCCUGAGAGGGUGACCGGCCACAUUGGGACUGAGAUACGGACCAGACUCCUACGGGAGGCAGCAGUGGGGAAUAUUGCACAAUGGGCGGAAGCCUGAUGCAGCAACGCCGCGUGCGGGAUGAAGGCCUUCGGGUUGUAAACCGCUUUCGCCUGUGACGAAGCGUGAGUGACGGUAAUGGGUAAAGAAGCACCGGCUAACUACGUG
rnacentral:rRNA from 1 species